rnacentral:misc_RNA from 1 species
UGUCUUCCCAAAAUAAACCUGUAAGAGGACUGUAAUUGCUUAGAUAUCAAGUAACUCAUCUUGAAAUCCUACAGACAAUUCAUUGAUUGCAAGGCCCCACUUGACCGUUGUGGCUGCAACAUAGCAUUUCUUUUUCCCUAAAUUAAUUAUUUGAAAGAAGGGCGGAUGCGAGAGAAAGAAAACUUUUUGUUUUGCAUUAUGAGAUAGACACUUGAUUAUUGGAUUAUAGGACCAAUGGUAAUUAAGGGUGUUCAGUUUCGGUUAUUUUACAGUUCUAGCUAAGAACCAAAAUAGGAACCAACCUUGGAUUCUUUUUUUAAGAACUAGACUUGGAAUCAAAUUUUUGUACUGACUCCGACUCGGUUUUAAGCAAUUUCAAUAUGGUUUCGAUUCUAAUUUAGGUUCUAUUUUGAUUUCAAUUUUG